GGCAGUUCUAAGGUGACACACCCUGAAAUUGGGCUCCUUCCUCUCUGGUUCCGGGUGCAUCACCCAAGAACUACA
rfam:Myotis davidii contig97166, whole genome shotgun sequence.